GGGUUGUGAGGUUAAGCGACUAAGCGUACACGGUGGAUGCCCUGGCAGUCAGAGGCGAUGAAGGACGUGCUAAUCUGCGAUAAGCGUCGGUAAGGUGAUAUGAACCGUUAUAACCGGCGAUUUCCGAAUGGGGAAACCCAGUGUGUUUCGACACACUAUCAUUAACUGAAUCCAUAGGUUAAUGAGGCGAACCGGGGGAACUGAAACAUCUAAGUACCCCGAGGAAAAGAAAUCAACCGAGAUUCCCCCAGUAGCGGCGAGCGAACGGGGAGGAGCCCAGAGCCUGAAUCAGUGUGUGUGUUAGUGGAAGCGUCUGGAAAGGCGCGCGAUACAGGGUGACAGCCCCGUACACAAAAAUGCACAUGCUGUGAGCUCGAUGAGUAGGGCGGGACACGUGGUAUCCUGUCUGAAUAUGGGGGGACCAUCCUCCAAGGCUAAAUACUCCUGACUGACCGAUAGUGAACCAGUACCGUGAGGGAAAGGCGAAAAGAACCCCGGCGAGGGGAGUGAAAAAGAACCUGAAACCGUGUACGUACAAGCAGUGGGAGCACGCUUCGGCGUGUGACUGCGUACCUUUUGUAUAAUGGGUCAGCGACUUAUAUUCUGUAGCAAGGUUAACCGAAUAGGGGAGCCGAAGGGAAACCGAGUCUUAACUGGGCGUUAAGUUGCAGGGUAUAGACCCGAAACCCGGUGAUCUAGCCAUGGGCAGGUUGAAGGUUGGGUAACACUAACUGGAGGACCGAACCGACUAAUGUUGAAAAAUUAGCGGAUGACUUGUGGCUGGGGGUGAAAGGCCAAUCAAACCGGGAGAUAGCUGGUUCUCCCCGAAAGCUAUUUAGGUAGCGCCUCGUGAAUUCAUCUCCGGGGGUAGAGCACUGUUUCGGCAAGGGGGUCAUCCCGACUUACCAACCCGAUGCAAACUGCGAAUACCGGAGAAUGUUAUCACGGGAGACACACGGCGGGUGCUAACGUCCGUCGUGAAGAGGGAAACAACCCAGACCGCCAGCUAAGGUCCCAAAGUCAUGGUUAAGUGGGAAACGAUGUGGGAAGGCCCAGACAGCCAGGAUGUUGGCUUAGAAGCAGCCAUCAUUUAAAGAAAGCGUAAUAGCUCACUGGUCGAGUCGGCCUGCGCGGAAGAUGUAACGGGGCUAAACCAUGCACCGAAGCUGCGGCAGCGACGCUGAUGCGUUGUUGGGUAGGGGAGCGUUCUGUAAGCCUGCGAAGGUGUGCUGUGAGGCGUGCUGGAGGUAUCAGAAGUGCGAAUGCUGACAUAAGUAACGAUAAAGCGGGUGAAAAGCCCGCUCGCCGGAAGACCAAGGGUUCCUGUCCAACGUUAAUCGGGGCAGGGUGAGUCGACCCCUAAGGCGAGGCCGAAAGGCGUAGUCGAUGGGAAACAGGUUAAUAUUCCUGUACUUGGUGUUACUGCGAAGGGGGGACGGAGAAGGCUAUGUUGGCCGGGCGACGGUUGUCCCGGUUUAAGCGUGUAGGCUGGUUUUCCAGGCAAAUCCGGAAAAUCAAGGCUGAGGCGUGAUGACGAGGCACUACGGUGCUGAAGCAACAAAUGCCCUGCUUCCAGGAAAAGCCUCUAAGCAUCAGGUAACAUCAAAUCGUACCCCAAACCGACACAGGUGGUCAGGUAGAGAAUACCAAGGCGCUUGAGAGAACUCGGGUGAAGGAACUAGGCAAAAUGGUGCCGUAACUUCGGGAGAAGGCACGCUGAUAUGUAGGUGAAGUCCCUUGCGGAUGGAGCUGAAAUCAGUCGAAGAUACCAGCUGGCUGCAACUGUUUAUUAAAAACACAGCACUGUGCAAACACGAAAGUGGACGUAUACGGUGUGACGCCUGCCCGGUGCCGGAAGGUUAAUUGAUGGGGUCAGCGCAAGCGAAGCUCUUGAUCGAAGCCCCGGUAAACGGCGGCCGUAACUAUAACGGUCCUAAGGUAGCGAAAUUCCUUGUCGGGUAAGUUCCGACCUGCACGAAUGGCGUAAUGAUGGCCAGGCUGUCUCCACCCGAGACUCAGUGAAAUUGAACUCGCUGUGAAGAUGCAGUGUACCCGCGGCAAGACGGAAAGACCCCGUGAACCUUUACUAUAGCUUGACACUGAACAUUGAGCCUUGAUGUGUAGGAUAGGUGGGAGGCUUGGAAGUGUGGACGCCAGUCUGCAUGGAGCCGACCUUGAAAUACCACCCUUUAAUGUUUGAUGUUCUAACGUUGACCCGUAAUCCGGGUUGCGGACAGUGUCUGGUGGGUAGUUUGACUGGGGCGGUCUCCUCCUAAAGAGUAACGGAGGAGCACGAAGGUUGGCUAAUCCUGGUCGGACAUCAGGAGGUUAGUGCAAUGGCAUAAGCCAGCUUGACUGCGAGCGUGACGGCGCGAGCAGGUGCGAAAGCAGGUCAUAGUGAUCCGGUGGUUCUGAAUGGAAGGGCCAUCGCUCAACGGAUAAAAGGUACUCCGGGGAUAACAGGCUGAUACCGCCCAAGAGUUCAUAUCGACGGCGGUGUUUGGCACCUCGAUGUCGGCUCAUCACAUCCUGGGGCUGAAGUAGGUCCCAAGGGUAUGGCUGUUCGCCAUUUAAAGUGGUACGCGAGCUGGGUUUAGAACGUCGUGAGACAGUUCGGUCCCUAUCUGCCGUGGGCGCUGGAGAACUGAGGGGGGCUGCUCCUAGUACGAGAGGACCGGAGUGGACGCAUCACUGGUGUUCGGGUUGUCAUGCCAAUGGCACUGCCCGGUAGCUAAAUGCGGAAGAGAUAAGUGCUGAAAGCAUCUAAGCACGAAACUUGCCCCGAGAUGAGUUCUCCCUGACUCCUUGAGAGUCCUGAAGGAACGUUGAAGACGACGACGUUGAUAGGCCGGGUGUGUAAGCGCAGCGAUGCGUUGAGCUAACCGGUACUAAUGAACCGUGAGGCUUAACCUUACAACGCCGAAGCUGUU
rnacentral:rRNA from 1 species